GACGAACGUUGGCGGCGUGCUUAAUACAUGCAAGUCAACUGAAGCAGUGGUAGCAAUAUCGCUGUGGAGGUGGCGCACGGGUGAGUGACACGUAGGUAAUCUGCCUUCAGGUCUGGCAUAACUCCGGGAAACCGGGGCUAAUAGCAGAUGAUGCAGCGGCUCGACAUCGAGACAGUUGUUAAAGCUAUGGCGCCUGAAGAUGAGCCUGCGUCUGAUUAGCUAGUUGGCGGGGUAACGGCCCACCAAGGCAACGAUCAGUAGCUGGUCUGAGAGGAUGAUCAGCCACACUGGAACUGAGACACGGUCCAGACUCCUACGGGAGGCAGCAGUAAGGAAUAUUGCUCAAUGGGAGAAAUCCUGAAGCAGCAACGCCGCGUGAGGGACGAAGGGCUUUUGCUUGUAAACCUCUGUAGUGAGAGAAAAAAAUCCCAAUCUUUGGGACAUGAUGGUAUCUCAAAAGUAAGCCCCGGCUAACUACGUG
rnacentral:rRNA from 1 species